CCCUGAUCCUGGGUGGGGGGGACAUUUGAGCCCUCCUGGGUCCUAGCCAGUUAGAACUGGAGCCCUGGGCCAGGACUGACAGGGGGUAGUGAAGCCGUGGGGGAGGGAGAGGUUGUCCCAGCUGUCAACAUCCUUGAUGGAUUAGGGGCAGGCCAGGGCCUGUAGCCAGCAUGUAGGAGUGGAACUGUGCCUGAGGAUUGUGUGUAGAGAAGGGAGAGGUUGUGGUGGAAAGCCUGGCUUCCAUGGGGAGAAACACUGUGCGUGAAAGUCGCAGCCAAAGGGAAUGGGGUGGGGGAGGUGAUCUGAACUAAAAAGUCCCUGGACCUGAGGAUGUGACUUUGUGUGGACACAGCCCUCAAAGGCUAUUUAAAGGGCUGAGAGCCUCCAUGUCCCUUUCAAUCUCUUGCCAGCAUGAUGGGCUCCUGGGUCUUCCCCACUUCGAUGCUCCUGCUCUGUCUGAUCCAGGGAAGCCAGCAAGGCGGGUUGGCCCCUCAGGGGAACGGCAUCCUGGGCUGGUUCCUUUCCUCAGCCCAUAUGAAAGGGGUUCCCCCAGGAGCAGGGGCUGCAGCUGGGGCUGGAAGCCCACCAGGAAAGGCAGGUUAUGGCGCACUGCCUAAUGGCUAUGGAGCAGGAGCUCCCAAUGGUGCAGGGGCUGGAUUCCAAAGCCCCACAGGGAAAGCUGGAUACAGGAAUGGACCAGGAGCAGCAGCCUUCCCUGGAGCUGGAGCCCAGCCAGGCCUUGGAGGGGGGAUGAAACCUCAAAAAGCAGCAUAUAGGAAUGGACUAGGUAAUGGAGCCUUUCCAGGAGCUGGAGCCCAGCCAGGUCUUGGAGCUGGAACCAAAUCUCAGAAACCAGGAAAUGGAAAUGGGCUAGAAGUUGGAGCCUUCCCAGGAGCUAGAGCUCAGCCAGGUAAGAGGAUCUGGGUGCCAAACACCUGGAUUCUGGAAAGGGGAAUUCUGAGCGUAGGAAACCCAGAGAUAAUGUCCUGAAUACAGCAGAAGAGAGUAGAGGUCAUGGACAGAAGCCUGGACCAGAUGAUGGUAGAGGAGAGCAUGAGAGAACUGGUGGCUUCCCUGGGCU
rnacentral:lncRNA from 1 species